AGUCCCUUGCGAGCGUGAAGAUGAUAAGCAAGACGGAUUUUCUUGAAGAAACUAAACUAGGUUGUCACACAACUCAUCAAAAGAUGUUUCCAAGAG